rnacentral:rRNA from 1 species
CCUACGGGUGGCAGCAGUGAGGAAUAUUGGUCAAUGGACGCAAGUCUGAACCAGCCAUGCCGCGUGCAGGAAGACGGCUCUAUGAGUUGUAAACUGCUUUUGUACGAGGGUAAACGCAGAUACGCGUAUCUGUCUGAAAGUAUCGUACGAAUAAGGAUCGGCUAACUCCGUGCCAGCAGCCGCGGUAAUACGGAGGAUUCAAGCGUUAUCCGGAUUUAUUGGGUUUAAAGGGUGCGUAGGCGGUCGGAUAAGUUAGAUGUGAAAUCCCGAGGCUCAACGUCGGAAUUGCCUCUGAUACUGUUCGUCUAGAGAGUAGUUGCGGUAGGCGGAAUGUAUGGUGUAGCGGUGAAAUGCUUAGAGAUCAUACAGAACACCGAUUGCGAAGGCAGCUUACCAAGCUACUUCUGACGUUGAGGCACGAAAGCGUGGGGAGCAAACAGGAUUAGAUACCCUUGUAGUC